GCAGUGCCCGACUCCGCAGGAGCGCCAGGGCGGCUCCUGCUCUUCCUGGACUCCCUGAAGAGGCGUUUGUCGAAAUGUCCACAGAAGGAGGAUUUGGUGGUACUAGCCGCAGUGAUGCCCAGCAAAGCCUAAAGUCCUUCUGGCUUCGGGUCAUGGAAGAAAUCUGGAAUUUAGCAGUGAAAGAUUUCUGAAUGCAGGAACUCCCACUGGCUCGUAUUAAGAAGAUUAUGAAACUGGAUGAAGAUGUGAAGAUGAUCAGUGCAGAGGCCCCUGUGCUCUUUGCCAGGGCAGCCCAGAUUUUUUAUCACAGAGUUGACUCUUCGAGCCUGGAUUCACACAGAGGAUAACAACUGCCGGACUUAUGUCGCCAUGGCAAUUACGAAAUUUGAUCAAUUGGAUUUUCUCAUCGAUAUUGUUCUAAGAGAUGAACUGAAACCUCCAAAGUGUCAGGAGGAGGUGCUGCAGUCUGUAACUCCUGCUGAGCCAGUCCAAUACUAUUUCACGCUGGCUCAGCAGCCCACCGCCCGUCCAAGUCCAGGGACAGCAGCAAGGCCAGACCACCGCCAGCUCCAUGACCACCAUGCAGCCUGGGCAGAUCAUCAUCGCACAGCUUCAGCAGGGCCAGACCACGCCCGUGACGACGCAGGUUGGAGAAGGUCAGCAGGUGCAGAUUGUCCAGGCCCAGCCACAGGGUCAAGCCCAGUAGGCCCAGAGUGGUACUGGAUGGACCGUGCAGGUGAUGUAGCAGAUCCUCACUAACACAGGAGAGAUCCAGCAGAUCCCGGUGCAGCUGAAGGCUGGCCAGCUGCAGUGUAUCCGCUUAGCCCAGUCUGUAUCAGGCACCCACGUUCUGCAGGGACAGAUCCAGACACUUGCCACCAGCGCUCAACCGAUUACACAGACAGAGGUCCAGCAAAGACAGCAGUAGUUCAGCCAGUUCACAGAUGGACAGCAGCUCUACCAGAUCCAGCAAGUAUCCAUACCUGCGGGCCAGGACCUGCCCAGCCCAUGUUUUUCCAGUCAGUCAACCAGCCCUCUGAUGGGCAGGCCCCCCGGGUGACUGGCGGCUGAGGGCCGGAGCUGGCAAGGCCGAGGACACUCAACACAAUUUUUGCCGUACAGCCCCAGGUCAUGAACACAGCCUUCUUCCCCAGAGGACCCGGCCGACCUCAGCUCCUCCUGCAGGCUAGGACAAUGGCGCACUAGGCCUCAUGCCUGGGGGCCGAGAUUCUCCAACAGAAAGAUGCAAUAUUUUUUGUUUCCUUUUUUCUCCAAGGAAUCAAUAUUUCAAUAUGUUGAGCUGUGUGUCCAAUGCUAUGAAAUUAAAAUAUUAAAUCACA